rnacentral:rRNA from 1 species
GUGUCAGCCGCCGCGGUAAAACGUAGGAGGCGAGCGUUAUCCGGAUUUACUGGGUGUAAAGCGCGAGCAGGCGGUGCGGUAAGUGGUGUGUGAAAGCGCUCUGGCUCAACCGGGCGAGGACAUGCCAGACUGCCGGACUCGAGGUAGGUAGAGGCGAGUGGAAUUCCGGGUGUAGUGGUGAAAUGCGUAGAGAUCCGGAGGAACACCAGUGGCGAAGGCGACUCGCUGGGCCUGACCUGACGCUCAGACGCGAAAGCAUGGGGAGCGAACGGGAUUAGAAACCCGUGUAGUCC